CAAUACGAGGGCAAUCUGACUGGAAUGCCUAUCACCCCAUUGCUUGCCAGGGUUGGUUCAGCUGACCUGGCUGCCUAGACCAGUGUCCCCUCCCUCCCUCACCACUCCCUGUGUGUCCAUUCAGAAGCUGUGUGUUCAAGGGAAGAGGACAGAGGAAGAGCUUUCCCGAAUAGAGAAGGACAGGUCUUCCUUCAGUCAAGGGUAUAUUAUAGCUGUGCUCCCUGCUAGAGCCUCCAAACAAGCUGUCAAGAAUAGCUGGAGAUCAUCACUCUGAAAGUACUACUCCAGAGUGGGCUAUCCUAUGCCUUGGUUU
rnacentral:snRNA from 1 species